rnacentral:rRNA from 1 species
UACGUAGGGGCAAGCGUUGUCCGGAAUUAUUGGGCGUAAAGAGCGUGUAGGCGGUCCGGUAAGUCGGCUGUGAAAGUCCAGGGCUCAACCCUGGGAUGCCGGUCGAUACUGCCGGACUAGAGUUCGGAAGAGGCGAGUGGAAUUCCCGGUGUAGCGGUGAAAUGCGCAGAUAUCAGGAAGAACACCAAUGGCGAAGGCAGCUCUCUGGGACGGUACUGACGCUGAGACGCGAAAGCGUGGGGAGCGAACAGG